AGGAUAGAGGCGCAGCUAAGAUCAGUAACCUUUUUCCGCCGUUUGGCAAAGCCUCCCGGGCUUGUGGAAAAGGUGAAAGGCGAGGCUGCCGAAGCGGGGCAUUCGGGAGGUGCCUUUGCUGACUGAUAGUUUAACAGAUUAUCGGUUGUCAUCAUUACUUAUGAUGGAGUGCUAUCG
rnacentral:ncRNA from 1 species